rnacentral:rRNA from 1 species
CCUACGGGAGGCAGCAGUGAGGAAUAUUGGUCAAUGGACGCGAGCCUGAACCAGCCAAGUCGCGUGAAGGAAGACGGUCCUAUGGAUUGUAAACCUCUUUUGUCGGGGAGCAAAACACGACACGCGUGGCGUUCCGAAAGUACCCGAAGAAAAAGCAUCGGCUAACUCCGUGCCAGCAGCCGCGGUAAUACGGAGGAUGCGAGCGUUAUCCGGGUUUAUUGGGUUUAAAGGGUGCGAAGGCGGAAGAUCAAGUCAGCGUUAAAAUUGAGAGGCUAAACCUGUCCGAGCCGUUGAGACUGUUUUUCUAGAGUGAGUGAGAGGUAUGCGGAAUGUGUGGUGUAGCGGUGAAAUGCAGAGAUAUCACGCAGAACUCCGAUUGCGAAGGCAGCAUACCGGCGCUCAACUGACGUUCAUGCACGAAAGUGUGGGUAUCGAACAGGAUUAGAUACCCUAGUAGUC